rfam:Bombyx mori DNA, contig: Bm_scaf23_contig15822, strain: p50T/Dazao, build 2, whole genome shotgun sequence.
UUAACUCAAAUUUGUAUGGACUUGGAACGUUUGCCUACGUUUGCCGCUAGGGGCGCUGUUACUACUCCAUACAAAUUUAAGUUA